rnacentral:rRNA from 1 species
UACGUAGGGGGCAAGCGUUGUCCGGAUUUAUUGGGCGUAAAGAGCGUGUAGGCGGUUUGGUAGGUCCGCUGUGAAAACUCGAGGCUCAACCUCGAGACGCCGGUGGAAACCAUCAGACUAGAGUCCGGAAGAGGAGAGUGGAAUUCCUGGUGUAGCGGUGAAAUGCGCAGAUAUCAGGAGGAACACCGGUGGCGAAGGCGGGUCUCUGGGCAACAACUGACGCUGAGGAGCGAAAGCGUGGGGAGCGAACAGG